CGCGCCACCACCGACAAGCCGCGCGGCCUAAGCCGCCGCUUCCGCCCACACAGAUGGGUGAUGCUCGACGACGACCUCUCCCGCCGCGUCGACUCCCACCUCUUCCUCAACCUCGACACCGUACGCUUCCUGCGCAAGGACCUGCCCCUGAACAACGGCUACAACUACAUCGGCGCGGCGGACGGCCUCCUCGUUUUAGAAAUGGCUCGAGGGCGUGCCCACAACAUAUGUGUCCUCAAUCCUCUCACAGGCUCCAUGGUUCGCUUCCCUUCAAGCCUUGCAUCUCAUCGCUUUCGCUCCCGCGUCGGCGUCGCCAUGGGUGCUGGCAAGACGGCGCCAGUGCUCUUUCUUUUCUCGCCUGACAGCGGACGGUGGUGUGACCCGAGUCAUCCUUCCCCUAGGUGGUUCAGGAUCGAGCAUAUAAGCAGCACCCCGAUCUGCACCGUGCUGUCCUUCCAAGGCCGGGUAUACAUCACUGACAUUGGUGGGUCGGUUAUGGCUGUGGAUUGCUUGGAAGGUCACAAGAAGCCUGAGAUCACUACCAUCAUCAAUAGAAGCCUGGAAUUAGGGCAAAACUUCCUCGUGGAUAAUGCUGGGGAGUUGUUGCUUGUGUGUGUGCCGUGGUGGCAGUGGCACUCAAUUUAUGCCAAGCGCACGCACGUCUUCAAGGUUGACUUGGAGGGCAAGGUCCUGGAGCCGGUCAGGAGCAUCGGAAACCGUGCUAUCUUCCUAGGUCGCCGUUGUUGUCUCUCCGUC
rnacentral:rRNA from 1 species